ensembl:miRNA
CUGCCUGCAGAAAGGAGCUAUCCACUCCAGGUCUCCUCUCUAUUGAGAGCUGGACACCCAUCAGGGUGACCUGCCUG